UCAAGUUCCACUCCUGCAAGAAUUUACAAGAACAAGGCUGUCCUUCUUCCUAUCCCUUCGAAACAGAUUCAAGGUAAUUACAUAUGCAGAUUUUCCCUCUCACGUUAUUCUACAAUGUCUUAGAAAUCAACUCUUUCAUUAUGGCUGUCAAAAACUGAGAACUAAAGAGGGGGAGUUCCUGUUUGUUCGUUCAGUUGCAAAUCUGCCAAUCUAAGGUGAUAUCUUGCAAGUGAAUCGUGAUCGCAAGGGAAAGAAUAUAUUUUGGAAUAAGCACUCAAGGUUGAGCGGCAACGAGCUUUGGGUGGUGUUGAGUUGAACCUUAAACAUUGUUGGAUUCAUUUUGAACUUCGAG